UGAACCCACAGUCCAGCGAACAGUCUGGAGAGCACCAUCGGGAAGAGAAGACCCUGUGGAGCUUUACUGCUGUCAGGGGCUGUUAUAUUGGUGUGCAUGCAUAGCAUAGUCAGGAGAUGCUAAUUGCGUAUUCUCCGGGAUACGCAGGAGUCGAUCUUGAAAUACUGACCUUGUGCAUUGGUAUGACUUACCUCUUGCGAGGGGGACACCCCCUGCCUGGCAGUUUCACUGGGGCGGUAGCCUCUUGAAAAGAUAUCAAGAGGGCCCAAAGCCAAGCUCAACCGGGACAGAAAUCCGGUGUAGAGUGCAAGGGCAAAAGCUUGGUUGACUGUG
rnacentral:rRNA from 1 species